rnacentral:rRNA from 1 species
GAGGCAGCAGCAAGGAAUUUUGGGCAAUGGGCGAAAGCCUGACCCAGCAACACCGCGUGGGGGAUGACGGCCUUCGGGUUGUAAACCCCUUUUACUAGGGAAGAAUAAAAUGACGGUACCUAGUGAAUAAGCCCCGGCUAACUACGUGCCAGCAGCCGCGGUAAGACGUAGGGGGCAAGCGUUAUCCGGAUUUAUUGGGCGUAAAGAGAGCGUAGGCGGCUUUUCAAGUCGGAUGUGAAAUUUCCCAGCUUAACUGGGAGGGGUCAUUCGAUACUGUUAGGCUUGAGUGCAGCAGGGGGAAACGGAAUUCCCGGUGUAGUGGUGGAAUGCGUAGAUAUCGGGAGGAACACCAGAGGCGAAAGCGGUUUCCAAGGCUGUUACUGACGCUGAGGCUCGAAAGCGUGGGGAGCAAACAGGCUUAGAUACCCUGGUAGUCCACGCCAUAAACGAUGGAUACUAGGUAUAGGGAGUAUCGACCCUCUCUGUGCCGAAGCUAACGCUUUAAGUGUCCCGCC